rnacentral:rRNA from 1 species
GAUGAACGCUGGCGGCGUGCUUAACACAUGCAAGUCGAGCGAAGCACUUUUGCGGAUUUCUUCGGAUUGAAGCAACUGUGACUGAGCGGGCGUACGGGUCAAGGUACGCGUAGGUUAACGUGCUCAUACAGGGGAUAACAGUUGAACGACUGCUAAUACCGCAUAAGCGCACAGUACCGCAUGGACGGUGUGAAAACUCCGGUGGUAUGAGAUGGACCCGCGUCUGAUUAGGUAGUUGGUGGGGUAACGGCCUACCAAGCCGACGAUCAGUAGCCGACCUGAGAGGGUGACCGGCCACAGUUGGGACUGAGCACGGCCCAA